rnacentral:lncRNA from 1 species
CAGGCUCGGCCUCGCUCAGGCCUAAUAGAGCAAUCCAGUUUGAAAAUGAAAAGGCCCAAUUUGUUUUUGGUGAGCUUAUAACCAGUCCAGAUUGGAGUGGCUCGUUGCAGAAAACCACCAACCCUAGCUAAAACCCUAAAGCUGCUUCCAUCCUCGUUCAGCAAUUAUAAGUUCCGCUGCCACGCCUCUCAUUCUUCACCAUUUCGUCAUAAUCAUAAUACCUGCGACUUGGAUUUCAGGUAUUAUUCUGUUAAUUCUUUCUCUCUCCCUCUCUCUAAUCCAUUUUCAAUUAUUACUUCAUCGAAUUUGUUUUUUAAUUUUUUCUGUUUCUCGGUGAUGAGCAAAUUAUGAUGACGAGUCUGAUUAUCCAUUCUUUCUAAAAUCAUGACGACGAAUCGAGGCAUUUGUCUGAGAGGAACACGAAAUCAAAUUCAACUUUUUAUUAUGAUUUUAUUGAUUAAUAGGAGGCUGGGGGCAUAAUGAUGAUGGAUACAAAUUGUUCUGAAUUUUUGUUGAUUGAUUGAGUUACAAUAACCUUCUACUCAUUCUGAAUGUCCCCUUCAAUUACUGAAUUUGCAGAUUUGGUUUAUGAACCUUUCGGAUUUCGUUCUGUUAGUUGGAUAACCCAAGGAUCCGUUUCUAAGUUCAAAUCAAUUAUUCGAUGCAUUUUCUUUUGGAUGUCUAUAGUUUAUAAACAUUCGCAAUUCUUUCAGAAGAGUACAUCGGUAGAAGUAUAAUUGUUGAUAAUUACUUAUUAGAUUCUUGUAAUUAUUUUAUUGUUAAUUUUAUGUUUAUUAUAUUAUUGUUCCCAUAAUUCCGCAAAGAGAAGGAAAAUGUGGCAAUGAUGAGAAAAUCAAUCUCUCUUUAAUACAUAAUUGAGGGAUACCUAUGAUUGAUUUAUUUUUUUUCAAGCACUUUUGAGCCACCCACUGUCAAAUUCUUUUCUUUCUCUUUAUGGUCCUUGGUAUUAUUUUUGUUACUAUUUUUUUACUCUUUUUUGCUAUCUUGUGCACAUAGAAAAAGUAGAUUUAAUUAUUAUAGGAACAAUCAUAAAAUCAAUGGAGGUAUCAUCAUCUUCAAAAGCAUAAAGAAAAUGCUUCUUAGCAGGAAAGCCAGCAACUGGUAUGUCUUGUAAAAUGAAAAAAAUGACUGUAAUCGGAUGCGGACAUGUCACUCUAGUUCGUUUUCGAGCUUCAUAUAUUGUACAAAUUAGGAAUAAAGCAAAGUAAUGCACGGUCCAAAGUCUUCUAUUUUUCAUAUUUAGUCCAUGUUUGUCUCCAAUUCUCUGAAGAAAUAAUAGAUUUUUUUGACCGUUUUAUGCCAGCAUGUGGGGCUCAGUUUGAGAGACAAAGUCAACAAUGGUGACAGGCAGUCCACCAAUCCACCAACGGUUGGAAAAUGGAUUAUGAGUUUGUUUAGUAGGACUUAAAAGUCAAUUAAAAUUAAUUUUUUGAUCGUUAUUUCAUUAUUUCAGUCGUCAUUUUUGAAUUUUUCUCUUACAUGUAUGACCCACAUUCUCUCUAACGGUCAAAAAAUCAUUUAUCAAAAUCCCUACCAAACAAACACUAUAUUUGGGCUGAAAAUUUGAAACCGAAAAAAAAAAUUAGUUUUGGGUUGCACGUCUUUCCUCUUUUAUUUUAUUUUCUUUUCUUUUCUUUUGUUUUUGCUUUGUUUUCUUAGUCACUUCUUGAUAUGUAAAUGGUCCUUUCCUUCACUUAAGAAAUUUGAAGGAAAAUGAAAAAGUCCCAUCUCAUCAGGGCUAAUUUGAUCGCUAUUGGAAGUUUGUGACUCAAGUUUUGACAAUAAAUCCAAAGUUGAGA